AUUGAACGCUGGCGGCAGGCCUAACACAUGCAAGUCGAGCGAGAGGCGGACGGGUGAGUAAUGUAUGGGGACUGCCUGAUAGAGGGGGAUAACUACUGGAAACGGUGGCUAAUACCGCAUACUAUCGGAUAACCCAUAUGGGAUUAGCUAGUAGGUGGGUUAAAGGCUCACAUAGCGGACGAUCUCUAGCUGGUCUUAGAGGAUGAUCAGGUCCACCGUGACGUAAACACGGCCCAGACUCCUACGGAGGCAGCAGUGGGGAAUCUUGCACAAUGGGCGCAAGCCUGAUGCAGCCCUGCCGCGUGUAUGAAGAAGGCCUUAGGGUUGUAAAGUACUUUCAGCGGGGAGGCGUUACCCGCAGAAGAAGCACCGGCUAACUCCGUGCCAUCAGCCGCGGUAAUAC
rnacentral:rRNA from 1 species